rnacentral:rRNA from 1 species
AUUGAACGCUGGCGGCAGGCCUAACACAUGCAAGUCGGACGGUAGCACAGAGAGCUUGCUCUUGGGUGACGAGUGGCGGACGGGUGAGGAAUGUCUGGGGAUCUGCCCGAUAGAGGGGGAUAACCACUGGAAACGGUGGCUAAUACCGCAUAACGUCGCCAGAACAAAGAGGGGGACCUACGAGCCUCUCACUAGCGGAUGGACCCAGAUGGGAAUAGGUAGUAGGCGGGGUAAUGGCCCAACUAGGCGACGAUCCCUAGCUGGGCUGAGAGGAUGACCAGCCACAGUGGAACAUAGACACGGUCCAGACUCCUACGGGAGGCAGCAGUGGGGAAUAUUGCACAAUGGGCGCAAGCCUGAUGCAGCCAUGCCGCGUGUAUGAAGAAGGCCUUCGGGUUGUAAAGUACUUUCAGCGGGGAGGAAGGCGGUGAGGUUAAUAACCUCACCGAUUGACGUUACCCGCAGAAGAAGCACCGGCUAACUCCGUGCCAGCCGCCGCAGUAA